ACCCCGUACUCCUGUUGUUUUCUAAAACAACAACAUUGUUCACCUAAGCUUUGAUAUCAAGGUACUUCUCAAAGAAGGAGCGGGCGGUUAGGUUUUGAUGUCAACGUGCUUCUCAAAGAAGAAGGAGCAGGUGGUUAAAGUCUUUGGAAGUCUACUACUCUAUCUUGCUGAAUCAUGAUUUGGUUGGAGUAUAGGAUUAAUUAAUUUCACUACAAAAUGCUUAUCGCCUGGAUCACGUGCUGUUGAGAUAAAUAUUCUGUUUGGUUAAUGAUCGGCAGAUUUUUUACUGCAACUCUCUAUAUUUCAUUUGUUUACUACGGUGGCAAUUUUUAGUAGGUGUGUAAUGAUUUGGCUUUUUUAACUGAGUUCAUUAGGUGCUUCACUACGAAGGAGUUUUAAUAUAUAUCUGUUUCUAGCUAUGUCAAUUGCAAUGGAAAAAAUACUGAUAAGAUCAAGGAGUUCAAAAUUGGGCAUAUAUGCUUCAUAGUCCUCUUUUUAAUAUUAAGUUUUCUUAUAUCAUAGUACAUGGUUUACUGUUGAUGAACAGAAAGCUUUAGAAGAAGAGAGGAAGCUUUGUGGGAAGAAAGUUUACUUAUUUGGAAGCACUGAACGUAAGUAUGCCUACUUGUACGUUUAAGCCAUCCUAAUUCCAGCCAUACUUCUCUGGGUCCUGCUGGAGGUAUGUAUUUUUUUUUUAUUCAGAAUCAAGAAGAGGUAAGCUCAACUUCUUCAAAUCCUGAUUGUGUUCUCAGUUUCUAACUGUUUUGGUCUGAUAGAUUGUGUUGUUUUAUCAAGUAAUUUCUGUUCACCUCCUACUGUUGCACAAAAGAAUUUUCCUAUUCUUACAUUUCUGUGCAAACAAUUAGUGUGAUGAUGAAUUUGUCACGUACCUGUUGUGUGUAUAAAUUAGGGGAAAAUAUUAGAUCAGACAUGCACAUUUGUGAUAUUUUUGUCCAAAUCUAUGUGAAUACCAUUCAAUAGUAUAUAGUGUUUAAAAGAAAACAUAUCACUCGGUUUUGAAUCUCCAAUUUACAGUAUCCGGAAAAGAAACAGGCUUGUGCUUCAAUUCCUUUUUUACCUUGGAAUUUAAGGGUUGGAGACAAAUGUCAGGUGGCUGCAUCCGAUAUAGAUGCCAGCUUUGCCGAUUUCAGGCUCUCUCUCUCUCUCUCUCUCUCUCCUGAAAUCUAGGUAAACUCAGAAGCAAGCAUUCUGGAGUAUCUGUACUGGCAAGAUCUCUUUUCACCCCACUUAGUCCAAAAUCGAAAGCAAGAAGCUUUGUCUCGGUACUUUCAGAAGCAAAAGGUCAAGGUGUAUGUACUUUUUUAGUUUGCUCCUUUGCCUCCACGAUAUUUGGAAACCAUCUGAUGUAAUGUUCUUGCUUCCUGGUAAUGUUCACUUUGUUAUUAUUUAGAGAUGAUGCGUCUGUAGUUCAUCAUUUGUUCUCUAAAUAUCUGGAAACCAUCUGUGGUAAUGUUCCUGCUUCUUGGUACUUUUGUUUCAUUGGAACACUGCAGAUGGAGUUUGACAUUUUAAUUUAGAUGAUUUGAUGUAUGUGCAUAUCUAAGUUUAGUUGCAGUGUUCUCUAUCUGCGACUGAUAGGUUUUGUGUUCCGUAUCAACGUACGGGCAACUUACUAUUUUUGAUAAUCUAAGAGUUGGGUUCCCAAGUUCUCAGGCCA